AUUGGAUUGUCGCCAGACCACUUGUUGUAUCGUCAGUGACAGCGCGUUACUUGUACGAAAUAAACCGUGAGGCGGGGCACCAAGUAUUGUUCAAUAUCUUCACCAUGAACGGAUUCCAAUAGGUCCAUUGCUCAAGUGGAAAAGAGUGGAAAAGCUGUUGAAUGGUGACACCAAGUAGAAUGGUAUGGUGCAGCCCAUGCCGCUAAUCGUGAAAACGAGAAUCAUCAUUGCUCAUCCUGUCAAGACGUCUACUUGCACUUUGCUAAAGAAAGAACAAGAUAUGUUUUACAUGUCACUGACAAGAGAUCUUAACACUUAUUUAUUAGUUUUAGUAAGAAAUAUGAGGUGUGAUCAUAACAUAUCAUGGUUCAUGAUAAAUUUUGAUACUUGAAGUUGUUCCAGGUAGUGGCAUUGUGCUAAUAACUAAUGUACUGAGGUAGUGAAAAUGUUUGUUAGAUAAUAGCUGCUUCAAUGUUGCUGAUUGAUGAAGCAGUCUCAUUUAAAAAAAAAACUGCAUUGUGUAAUUGUUACAUGUUGUUUAUGAUGAUGGUUGUUAUAGAUCUCU